rnacentral:rRNA from 1 species
UGCAGUCGAACGGUGAAGGCGGGAGCUUGCUCCUGCCGGAUCAGUGGCGAACGGGUGAGUAACACGUGAGUAACCUGCCCUUGACUCUGGGAUAAGCGUUGGAAACGACGUCUAAUACCGGAUACGAGCUUCAGCCGCAUGGCUAGGAGCUGGAAAGAACUUCGGUCAAGGAUGGACUCGCGGCCUAUCAGCUAGUUGGUGAGGUAAUGGCUCACCAAGGCGACGACGGGUAGCCGGCCUGAGAGGGUGACCGGCCACACUGGGACUGAGACACGGCCCAGACUCCUACGGGAGGCAGCAGUGGGGAAUAUUGCACAAUGGGCGCAAGCCUGAUGCAGCAACGCCGCGUGAGGGACGACGGCCUUCGGGUUGUAAACCUCUUUUAGCAGGGAAGAAGCGAAAGUGACGGUACCUGCAGAAAAAGCACCGGCUAACUACGUGCCAGCAGCCGCGGUAAUACGUAGGGUGCAAGCGUUGUCCGGAAUUAUUGGGCGUAAAGAGCUCGUAGGCGGUUUGUCGCGUCUGCUGUGAAAACGCGAGGCUCAACCUCGCGCCUGCAGUGGGUACGGGCAGACUAGAGUGCGGUA